rnacentral:rRNA from 1 species
UGCCAGCCGCCGCGGUAACACGGAGGGGGCAAGCGUCGUUCGGAAUUACUGGGCGUAAAGGGCGUGUAGGCGGCGAUGUUAGUUAGGCGUGAAAGCCCCGGGCUCAACCUGGGAAUAGCGCUUGAUACUGCAUUGCUUGAGUCCGGGAGAGGUGAGCGGAAUUCCCAGUGUAGAGGUGAAAUUCGUAGAUAUUGGGAAGAACACCGGUGGCGAAGGCGGCUCACUGGACCGGUACUGACGCUGAGGCGCGAAAGCGUGGGGAGCAAACGGGAUUAGAUA